rnacentral:rRNA from 1 species
UACGUAGGGGGCAAGCGUUGUCCGGAAUUAUUGGGCGUAAAGCGCGCGCAGGCGGCUAGUUAAGUCAGAUGUGAAAGGCUGCGGCUCAACCGCAGAGCUGCAUCUGAAACUGAUUAGCUUGAGUGCAGGAGAGGAUAGUGGAAUUCCCGGUGUAGUGGUGGAAUGCGUAGAGAUCGGGAGGAACACCAGUGGCGAAGGCGACUGUCUGGACUGUAACUGACGCUGAGGAGCGAAAGCGUGGGGAGCAAACAGG